rnacentral:lncRNA from 1 species
UUUUUUUUUUUUUUUGGCCACACUCAAGGCAAGCAGAAGUUCCUAGGCCAGGGACUUAACCCUUGCCACAGCAACAACCCGAGCCACAGCCGUGACAAUGCCAGGUCUUUAACCUGCCAGGCCACCAGGGAACUCUGAACAUUUGCAUUUUUCUUUUUCUUAUAUGCCCCUGCUCCUUUCCCUGUCCCUGACCUACUACUUGGAUCUUUUUACAUAAUGCCAAUUACUUAACGAUGAAGGAGCUCCAGGUGCCGUGCUGGGCCCGGGAUCGCAGUGGCUUAUAGUCUCCCUUCUCCUGUCAUGUUGUUGUUGCAGAGGAUUUUCUGACACCAGCUCAGGGACCAGGCAGGUCCAGCCCAGGCUUCCUUUCUCUGGCUGGAGGUUGGAGAGAGGGACAAGCUGUUCUGAGGACCAUUCCCUCAUCUGUGAAAUGUGGAUGAAGACAGCUUCUCGCAAACCCAGCUGUUGAGAGGAUAAAAGGAGAAAAUAUAGGUUAAGAAAUGAUUAGCCCAAGGCCAAGCAUAGGAGGUCCCCUAUUUGUGACAGAUAUCAUUGAUAAAAAUAGGUCUCAUCAGUGUGCCUCUACUGUUUUCCUUUCCUACUUUGUGCACUUAUCUUUGUUUAUCCUUUACUUCUGAUACUGUGUAGACCUCAUAGGAGCAUGAACCCUCUCCAAAGCGGAUUUAAUUGGGGGUAAAAAGACAGGAAUCCUAUGAAAAAGAAUCCCCUUGGCCCCGUAAACAUGAGGGGUAAAUAUUUCACCCGCAGAAAGGCUCCAAUGUUUGUUAUUCCAUGAACAUCUGCCUAAUCUAUAAGCCAUGAUGCUACCACCCCCAUAGGUUAGAUUAAAUUCACCUUUAGAGAAAUUUUAAUUUCAGUGUUACUAUUGUUAUAACCUGGGGGUGUCUUCCAAGAUGGAAACGUCGGGAGAAAAAUAGGGGCUCCUCUGAGAAACUCAUCUAAUAGGCAAUUUGGGGGCAAAUAUAUAUAAUAUAUAUAUAUAUGAUAUAUACUGCUUUAUAUAGUUUAGCACUAAAAUGUAUUUGAGUAAUACCUAAGAACAUGCCUAUUUAAUUUUAACCAAUGGGUUAUGGGAAUCAUCAAAAAUCAAACACAAUAAAAAGGAACAAUAUUUAUGGCAUUUUAAAGCCUAUCCUAUUAUUGGUUAGUGCUCCCCUCAAUUGUUUAACUGCAAUUGGUUCCACUCUCUCAUUGUGGAUGAUUUUUAUACAUCUGAGUUAAAAAAUAAUGCUGCUUGCAAGUGAAAAGUUAAAGACCAAGACAAGGCCUAUUAGAAUAACAUUACACUUUUUUAUGCCCUGCACUUACUUCGUCAAUUACUAAUUAUUUCCCUUUUCCUAUGCAACCAAAUAGAAGCCAUAAAAUCUUUGAUUUAAUGAAAACUUCCCCACCAAAUAGGUCCUCCAACUCGGCUGAAGGCUUAUAGGUAAUUUAUCUACCUCGGUAGGCAAUGACCUUUUGUGAAUCGUGAGUCAUUCCUCACUCCUAAUGAGAUGGAUCCAGAUGCCAUCCCCCCCUCGCCACGGGCCCCUCCUCCCUCCAUCCGACAGAGGCCCUGCCUCCCCACUUCUCCGAAGGGGGCCGCAAUGGGUCCCUGCGCAGGGAGCCUCUGGGUGGGGGAGGGGAAGAGCCCUCCUCCUCCUCCUCCUCCUCCUCGUUGCACCUCCGUUAAGGUGGCUGCAUACUGACCCUGCUUCUCUCUCAUUGGCCCUGAGGGAAAAAGGGUGAGGGCUGACAGAGGCCAAGGUGAGUGUCCUUAGCAUCUGGGAAGUAGAAAUAACUUGCCAGGACCUUAAGAGGUCUCACUGCCCCCUCUUCCCACACCACAGUCGUGGAGAGAACCAGGCACACAGAACGCGGCGCGGGGCUCCCAUGGGCUCCGGGAGGUUUAGACGGAGCUGGUCCCCAUGUGUACCUUUAUUUGCAGAGUGUCUUCAUGUGUUGCUGACUGUAUAUUAGAUACACAUAUGUACGUUACACCCAUGUAUUACUGCUUACAAUGCAUUGCUCAUUUAUACAUGGAACCUUAAUUAUAUUACUCUACAUGGAUAUAUAUUGCUGUCCUGCUCCAAUAUAUUCAGUGUAAUAUAAAAUAAAUAUGGAAAAUGGAAGAAACAUAAGGUCAAUAAUGAAGAUGAAUACAGGUUUUUAAUAUGUUCUCCUGGUUCACUUCUGGAUCUUUUUGUAAAUCUUUGGGCUUUCUGGGGGUCCAAGGAGACCAUGACAUCUGUGCUUUGUGUAGGUCACUACAUGGCCAUAAGGGACCGUGUCUGGGGCUGGGGCCACAUAACCUCCCCAUAUCACACUGUGCUCCACCAGCAUCUGAGGUCAAGGGCAGGGAGACUAGUAACUUAGAGACUAAUCUGCUCCCCCAACCCCACCUCUCCCCAUCCCUGCAACAUAUUUUUGAUGCUAUGCUUUCCAUUCUCCAGACUGGCCACUUGCUACUGGGAGAGUGAAAAUAUUUGCAGACAACGAGCUCUGGAAUUCUUUCCAGAAUGUUUGAUGGAUCGAUCUUCAGAGUAGGUGGGCAAUCAUGGAAGGUUUAGAAGUGCAGCUGCAGGCUUUGGAGGCCCUUUCAGGAGGUGGAUGCUGGCAAAUCCAGUUGGCCCAUCAGAGGCAGCCUGCAAAUUCCAGGCUGCCCCGGGGACCCAACCAGGGAGGACUUGUCCUUUCUCACUGAAAGGUCAGCAGGGACUCAGAGGUGGUCUUUCAGAGGUGGUCUUUCACCGCUGCCUUUACCACAGGAACAUCCACCUGAAUGAAAAGACGCUCACCUUGCAAAUGCAGGAGUAGAUGCCUGUGUGGAGGGAAGACCCGCAACCUCAGCCCGAACAUCUCCAGGCCUGAUUUGGUUAUGUCUUGCUGCCAUGUCUGCAGAGCAUAAGAAAUAAUUGGCAAAUCGAGGUGCAUUAAAAAAAAAAAAUCCAAUUUUUGAAAUGUUUUUUUCAAGUGCUUUUUAAUGAUUGUGUACAUUCAUGUCAUGAGAUGAGGGUACCUUAAAUUCAUUUGAAUGCCCAAGAUGGAAUAAAAUAGACUCUCAAACAAAUCUUACAAAUCAUAUUACAUUUUUUGUCUGGAGCAAAAAGAGAAGCCUAAUUCCUUCUUAUAGGAUAAUUCCUCAUAAGACUUAGAUAUUUCUAUUUACAUGCCAGUAAAAUAAAGAGAGUCAUGGGCAGAGACAUUGUGAGGUUGGAAAAUACUUUAUCAUAAAAGAACAGAAUUCCUUGAUGACUUGCUGCAUUUGAAAUAAGUAGCUAUCAGGAGUACUAAACACGUGAACCUAUGUUUUAGAGAUAAUUAAAAAAUAUAUAUAAAGCAAAGAGGAACAGUCCCUACUGAUGCAGUUUCUUUCUAGGUCAGUGAUUUUGCUUUAUUCACAUGUCUGGGUGAGGAUGGCGGGUGCGACCUGCCAACAGAAGCCACUGGAUUUGACACAUUUCAGUGUCAGCUGUGGGAUUUCUGCCUUAAAUCUGUCAGGACGGCCCUGUGGCCACUUCUGCAAAAACCCUCAGGGACAAAAUUUAUUGUUAUACCUCAAUAGCUUUUUGUUCACCUCCAAAAUAGGGGUCUGGGGUCAUACUAACGAUUGUGGAGAGACAAAAUGCUCUCUCUAUAUUUUAUUAAACAGAUCUCUUAAUAAUUAAUCAAAUGUGAAAAUUAUUUCUCAUCACUCUGACACAAAGGCUAAAGCAUUGGGAUUUUUUUUUUUCCUCAGCCUGUUUCUGUUCCUAUUAAAUUGCCCUCUGUGGAGUCCCUCAGCUACCAAGCAAGUGAGUAGAGAAAGCCCAAUUUAUGACCUGGCUUUUUAAACCAUUAUCACCCCUCUGGGCUUCUACUGGAGAAGGGUUGGGGGGCUUUGUAGGUUGUCAGAUAAACACCUGAGAAAGUCUCUUCUCAGAUUCCCCCACGUCCAGACAGGGGCCAUGAGACCACGGAUGGAAACAAACCCAUGGAUGUCCACUCCGAGCCACACCACAGCAUGGCGCCUCUACUAGGAAUAGGAAGACGUGGCUCCUCAAAGAGUUUUUGCUUUAGGGAAAAAAGAAAAGUAAGAAUCACCCUGUUCAUCUCCGGAUGGGGUAAGAAAACACUGCACUGCUGAGGAACUGGCCUUGGGUCCCACUUUCAGGCAUCCCAUAGUGGCCUUGGCACCAUUUUCAGCCUCCAACCAGGCCAGUUUAGAAGAUGGGUGGUGGGAGUUCCCAUCAUGGUUUAGUGGUUAAUGAACCUGAUUAGGAUCCUUGAGAAUGCAGGUUUGAUCCCUGGCCUCGUUCAGUGGGUUAAGGACCCAGUGUUGCUGUGAGCUGUGGUGUAGGUCGCAGACACAGCUGGGAUCCUGUGUUAUUGUGGCUGUGGUGUAGGCCUGCAGCUGUAGCUCUGAUUUAACUCCUAGCCUGGGGGCCACAGGUGUGGCCCUAAAACAAAACAAAAGAAAAAAACAAAAGAAAAAAAAAAAGAUGGGCAUGUCUUAAGGCCCUGAGUCACUGACAGAUUAAUACCAGAUAAGGGACACUGCUAGAAAAGUGCACAGCAAGCAAGUUCUUCUGACCUUUCCUUACUAAAAGGUCAGAGAGAAAUUAGAAGUGGUCUUUCAUCGCUGCCUCCACCAGGAACGUUCCAUCUGAAUGUAGACAAUGGGAAUCCUGCAAACAUCUGACUAGAGAGGUGGGGGAUAAAUUUGGGCUCCUAUUAAGAGAGGGGCUCUCGGGUGUGUGGGAGGUGUGUGUGUGUGUAAGGGUGGGUGUAUACACAACUGGGUAAUGCAAAAGCCAAGUGGGCAGCAGGAGCGGGUUAGAAACGCACGGAAGAGCAAUGGCUGCUGGCAGCAGCGUCAAUAUCCUCCCUCUGAGCACUAAUUACAUUAUUAAGCAAACAGACCAACACAGGGUCUGAGGGAUGGAAACAUGUAUUUAGGAUCCAGUCACUCUCCACUUGGCUGUAAAUAACCAUGUGCUGUGCGGCACACAGUUCUCGCCAACCAGUGACGACGGGGCACUUUCCUUAACUUCUCUUUCAUUUACCAAGCUUGAGAAAGAGGAGCGUUGCUUUCCAUGGCAGCCACUCUUGGAGAAGUCAGAUUCUCCACUUCAGUGCUAGGAACUCUAUCAGAUAUUUUUGAGAGCGGUGGACAGAGCAGCCACUGUUCCCCCAGAGGAGAUGCAGGAUUCAGGAGGCAAAAGAAAAUGUAACAACGUGCCUUUGCUGGGCUGCAAACAGCACGCACUUGCUAAUUGACCUCUGCAGCACCCAAGAACCCCCAGCUCCUUUGAUGCGGCUAAAUCCAGCCUCAAGAAGGGGGCACCAGCCCAGGACUGGAUGAAACCUGGAACAACCUGGAAAGGAUUUGUAUGCAAUGGGAAUAAAUCUGUUUUUUAAAAGAGUCAGAGAGGAGCUUGCAGAAGGAAAUCUGCAGCAGGCUGAGCCAGCCGGGUGAAUGGCAGAGAGAAUAGAGGCUAUUUGAAUACUGAUGUGGCCCUCACUUUCUUCCAUUUCCAUUAAUGACAUGCUCAUCAAGGGCAAACAAUGGGACCGGCUGCCGGCGCCUGUCACAGUGUGUGGGUGCUGGGAUGCCAGGCUGUCAUCCCCAGGCUGCAUUUAGAGACCUGCACGCUAAUAAGAAGUGCUCUGUGCCGUCAAUGCAGACAGGUGCUUCCGCGGCUGGGACAUGCUCCAUUCCCUUCCCCCUGAAACCCUCCUCUCCUGGCCCCCCUGACAGACACCAUGAAAUGCACAAAUUAACAGCCCCAUCAUGUUGGGCUGCUGCUGCCUGCGGUGAAAGCAGAAAAUCAAGUUGUCACCCAGGGUGCAGUGAUAAAGCCACAGCCUCAUUUCUCUGUUGGUGCCCUAUAAUAGCAAAUGCCAGACAGCUGGAUGGAUGGGAGGCUUUAGAUUAAGGCCCUGAUGCACUCCGGCCAGAGAAUUAGUAGUCGCUGUUUCCAUGUGGAUAUUCCGUUCAAAACAAACAUCUGGAGAAAGCAACAUUUCUUAGGGCAGAAAUGUCCUUUGCUUCUUCCAGAACCAAAGAAAACAGCCCCCAAGAGUGGGGUUUCCUUUCAAAAAGCCCCUGUGAGUUUUCAACUCUCAAUCUGCUUGGAACUUUAUCAAGCACCUAGAGCCAUGGGAAGGUUAACAAGUUAGCAAAGAGUCCCGUGCCAAGACCAUUGUUGAGGCAGAGAACGGUUUCUGGGUCCACAGAGCCUGGAGCUACUGACACUCCAUCCAGCAAGUCCUCCUCCUCCAUCCAGCAAGUCAGAAGGACUCUGAUCGUGAGAAUUUUCAGGACCCCUUGAGCAGUCUGCCUAAAGUGGGCCCCCCAACCCCAGACCUCCUCACCACACAUCUUCAUAGACUGAAGCAGCUUCUGGUGAAUCGCAGAGACAAAGAGCCCUGCCCUUCUUGGCACCACGGCCAGCUGGCUCUAAGUAGCCGGUGGCCUGUCCCCAGCGGGGCUGCCAGGGCCAAGCGUGUGCCAGGCAAGACAUGGAAGGGCCUGAGCCCUUCAGACUCCAAGGAGUUUAAUGACAUAAUGGCCUGAGAACUUCAACAUAAAACAGGAAGAGCAACUAACGAAACUUACAACAUAAAACCCCCCUCCUGUCAUUUUUAUAGUAACAGUAAAACACUUUAUUGAAUUUAUGAGCUACAUAAUGACUAUGAAGAAUGUAACUUGAAUUAGAACCAACUUGGAAGGAUAAUAUCAACUAUAAACCCUUUUCUAGUAAGUACCCCAACCCUUCAGCUUUUUCUGUCCUCUUCCUCUUAACCAAGGGACAUUGCCUUCCUCUGACUGAUGCCGCAGACAGAGUUCACAACUUGCUCAUAAAUCUUGACCUCCUCCAAAGCUCCCCCACCGCCGACAAGCCCUCAGGGGGAAGACACUCCCUGGGGGGCAGGGGGGGACUCUUCCCUUUCAAAGCUUCAGAGCCAUUCAAACGCAUCUCAGAAAAGGAACCGGUUUGCCUUUUCUUGCAUAAAGCCUGUCACAUCGAGAGGGUCUCCGGAGACACACAUCAGAUAUUUCAAUAUCUGUAACUCCACAUUGUAAUAGCCUUUCCAAAAUAGAAACUAUAAUCCCUUAGAAGUUUAUGAAAAGCGUCCCUGGCCAAGGACUCGGUGUGGGAGUGGGGGCGGUGGUCAGGUUCCCAGCGCCUGGAUGAGCUCCGCCGUGGGCUAGGCUGUGUUUUCUGUUUCCAUUUCACUCCUUAAGGCUUUCUGUUCCCCUGGGAUUUUUCUGGAGGGGUAAUAAAAUAAAAUGGGUGAAACAAAGCCAUAAGCCAGUUAAGUCUGAAAGACAUGUCAUCUCAUCUAAAAGGAAGAAACGGACCAUUUCCAUGCCUAAGGCUGACAGCAACGCCUGAGCUGGCAAUAGCGCUAUUCCGUUUGAUUUAUAGAAUAAUGGGGUGACAAAUGAUGACAAAAAUAAACUUUUACUGCACUGAACUGCUCCUUUAUUUAUGAAAUUUGGCCAAGUAGUGAAAUCUUUUAUCUGCAAGUUGUAACGUGGAGUGGGAACGAGCGAUUAUGGUGUGGUAAUAGUAAUCCAGCAAUGGAGGCUGAGCCGGUUGGAAAUGGAUUGAGGUAAAAUAACUACCGCACCAUGAUAAAUGUGAACAGCGCUUUGCUGACAGAUGAUCUAACAGGUGUUCAUAACAACUAUAUAAGAGGAUUUAUUUAUGACCAGCCACAGCCGCAGCACUGUAAAUCAACUCCAGCAGCUGCACACCGCUGAAACCAAGUCCCUGAUGGAGGAACGGUACGAGCGCCCAAAGAACACAAUUCACUCCAGAAUCCUAAUCAUCAAAUAACAUUUUUUUUAGGUAAUUACACCACAGCACAGAAAUCAUAAUUACUUUCAAUUAAGAAAACGGAGCUGCCCAUAACUUUGUUUACAAAAUAUUUUUCUUUAGGCCCCACGGUUCUGAUGAGGCUCGAGCAGAAUGGAGGCUCUGGGGUCCAGGAGAGAGUGCCCUUGGCCAUGGCAACUGUAGGGUUGCAUCUGCACAAGCCUCGCAAGGUGGCUUUGUUUUUUGUGAGGCUCAAAAAGCAAACCUUCUGUUGGGAGGAUGCUUGGCCUGGCCCCCCAACCUUAUGCAUCAUCCUUCCCCUGGCAGCAUGUUUGAGUUCACACCUUAGCCUAUGUUGUCACUCCUCAGUUUGUUACCAAAGAGGAUAAGUCCAUCACGGUGAACUCACUAGGAAAGAGGGGUUUAACUGUAGGCUGAGGGGGCCACCUUCAUACAACCUUCCCUAGCUACUUUGCAAAGGCAGAAUUUACACCUUUUCUUUUGGGCAGCUGUGGUCUUAACAAUUCCUCACUGUUAUCCAGAGAUGCUUGAACCUGCCCUGAAACAAGAAUCCGAAUUCAGGAGCUCCCGUUGUAGCUCAGCAGUUAAUGAACCCGACUAGCAUCCAUGAAGAUGUGGGUUCGAUCCCUGGCCUCGCUCAGUGGGUUAAGGAUCUGGUGUUGCCGUGAGCUGUGAUGUAGGUUACAGACACCUCUUGGACUCAUAUCCCGAGUUGCUGUGGCUGUGGCAUAAGCUGGCGGCUAUAGCUUUGACUGGACCUCUAGCCUGGGAACUUCCAUAUGCCAUAGGUGUGACCCAAAAAAGACAAAAAAAAAAAAAAAAAAGGAAUCCGCAUCGAUAUCCCAUUGCUUAAACAGAAAGGUUGGUUCUGAUCUCCCCCCUCAGCAUACCCUCCUCGCCCCUACCCCAAGUUAAUGAAAAGGGUGGGCGGGCAAAGUGAGGCUUACCGGGUCUAAGCACCUGGGGAGCAUGUGC